rnacentral:tRNA from 2 species
GGGCGGAUGGUUUAGUGGUAUAAUACUCCCUUAGCAAGUUUCCGUCUACGGAUUCGAGAUUGGGAGUGGUCCGGGGUUCGAUUCCCCGUUCGUCCA